GCUCCCUGAUGUUAGCGGCGGACGGGUGAGUAACACGUGGGUAACCUGCCUGUAAGACUGGGAUAACUCCGGGAAACCGGGGCUAAUACCGGAUGCUUGUUUGAACCGCAUGGUUCAGACAUAAAAGGUGGCUUCGGCUACCACUUACAGAUGGACCCGCGGCGCAUUAGCUAGUUGGUGAGGUAGCGGCUCACCAAGGCGACGAUGCGUAGCCGACCUGAGAGGGGACCGGCCCCAAUGGGACUGAGCCACGCCCCAAACUUAAACGGGAGGCAGCAGUAGGGAAUCUUCCGCAAUGGACGAAAGUCUGACGGAGCAACGCCGCGUGAGUGAUGAAGGUUUUCGGAUCGUAAAGCUCUGUUGUUAGGGAAGAACAAGUGCCGUUCGAAUAGGGCGGCACCUUGACGGUACCUAACCAGAAAGCCACGGCUAACUACGUGCCAGCAGCCGCGGUAAUACGUAGGUGGCAAGCGUUGUCCGGAAUUAUUGGGCGUAAAGGGCUCGCAGGCGGUUUCUUAAGUCUGAUGUGAAAGCCCCCGGCUCAACCGGGGAGGGUCAUUGGAAACUGGGGAACUUGAGUGCAGAAGAGGAGAGUGGAAUUCCACGUGUAGCGGUGAAAUGCGUAGAGAUGUGGAGGAACACCAGUGGCGAAGGCGACUCUCUGGUCUGUAACUGACGCUGAGGAGCGAAAGCGUGGGGAGCGAACAGGAUUAGAUACCCUGGUAGUCCACGCCGUAAACGAUGAGUGCUAAGUGUUAGGGGGUUUCCGCCCCUUAGUGCUGCAGCUAACGCAUUAAGCACUCCGCCUGGGGAGUACGGUCGCAAGACUGAAACUCAAAGGAAUUGACGGGGGCCCGCACAAGCGGUGGAGCAUGUGGUUUAAUUCGAAGCAACGCGAAGAACCUUACCAGGUCUUGACAUCCUCUGACAAUCCUAGAGAUAGGACGUCCCCUUCGGGGGCAGAGUGACAGGUGGUGCAUGGUUGUCGUCAGCUCGGGCCGGGAGAUGUUGGGUUAAGUCCCGCAACGAGCGCCACCCUUGAUCUUAGUU
rnacentral:rRNA from 1 species